rfam:Oryza sativa Japonica Group DNA, chromosome 7, cultivar: Nipponbare, complete sequence.
AAAAAGAUAAACCAUGGGUUCUCGUGCUAAUGUUUGACUGUCCGUCUUAUAUGAAUUUUUUUUAUAAUUAGUAUUUUCGUUGUUGUUAGAUGAUAAAACAUGAUUAAUACUUUAUGUGUGACUUAUCUUUUUAAUUGUUUUCAUAAUUUUUUCAAAUAAGACGGACGGUCAAACGUUGGACACGGAAACCAGGGUUUGCCUUUUUU